rnacentral:lncRNA from 1 species
GACAUUUUAUACCUUGAAUGUAGAAAUUUAUCCUGGACUUCAGCCACCAGGUGUUUCUUCAUGCAGUAAUAAACUGUAUGUUUGGGAACAGACUUGAAACUAUUUAAAAAAGGAAUCAAAAUGUCACAUUUGAUAAUUGGUUCGCUGGUUACCCAUUGAUGUUACAUUUGCUAAAAGAACACCAGUUCAGCAGCACAGGAACUAUUGGCAUAAACAAAGUCAUAGAUGCUUGGGGAAGCGACAGAUCACCCACAGUGUCACUGCUGGCUUCCCAAGCAGCUGGAAUGGCUGCUGCUCUUCAGGCCUCCCUUGGGAUCACUCAGAGAUGGAAAAUUCUCAGCCUCAACUGGAGAUUAGAAACAAAG